rnacentral:rRNA from 1 species
AUGGCGGAGGAGAGCCAGGCGCCGCGCUACGUGAAGCUCACCCGGGACCAGGAGGCGCCCGCCGAGGACAUCUGCCCCGGCGAGCUCAACCAGCCCGUCCACGUCCCACGGCCCGGGUGCAGAUGGUGCGCCGAGUGCGGCCAGGUCCUGCCGGAGUCCUACCAGCUGCCGGCCGACGAGCCCUGGAGCACCGGAAUCUUCGGAUGCACCGCCGACCCCGCGAGCUGCCGAACUGGAUGCUUCUGUCCAUGCGUGUUGUUCGGGCGCAAUGUUGCGGCUCUUAAAGAGGAUACCCCAUGGACAGCACCAUGUGUUUGCCAUGCCGUCUUUGUGGAAGGAGGGAUCGCCCUUGCGAUCCUGACAGCAAUAUUCCAUGGGGUUGAUCCAAGAUCGUCGUUUCUUAUUGGAGAAGGUCUACUGUUCAGCUGGUGGCUGUGUGGUACCUAUACCGGCAUUUUCCGUCAGGAGCUCCAGAAAAAGUACCAUCUCAAGAACUCGCCAUGCGACCCUUGUAUGGUCCAUUGCUGCCUGCACUGGUGCGCAAACUGCCAGGAGCAUCGCGAGAGGAGGGGCCACCUCGUGGAGAGGGAGGAUGGAGUGCAGAUGACCAUCGUCGACGCGCCUCCGGUGGAAGAGAUGGGCAUGCCAAGAGAGUCAUCGUGCUGCCUCUGA